CCUACGGGCGGCAGCAGUGAGGAAUAUUGGUCAAUGGGCGCGAGCCUGAACCAGCCAAGUCGCGUGAGGGAAGACGGUCCUAUGGAUUGUAAACCUCUUUUGUCGGGGAGCAAAAGACGCCACGCGUGGCGUUCCGAGAGUACCCGAAGAAAAAGCAUCGGCUAACUCCGUGCCAGCAGCCGCGGUAAUACGGAGGAUGCGAGCGUUAUCCGGAGUUAUUGGGUUUAAAGGGUGCGCAGGCGGAAGAUCAAGUCAGCGGUAAAAUUGAGAGGCUCAACCUCUUCGAGCCGUUGAAACUGGUUUUCUGGAGUGAGUGAGAAGUAUGCGGAAUGCGUGGUGUAGCGGUGAAAUGCAUAGAUAGCACGCAGAACUCCGAUUGCGAAGGCAGCAUACCGGCGCUCAACUGACGCUCAUGCACGAAAGUGUGGGUAUCGAACAGGAUUAGAUACCCUUGUAGUC
rnacentral:rRNA from 1 species